UCCUGGCUCAGAUUGAACGCUGGCGGCAGGCUUAACACAUGCAAGUCGAACGAUGAYUMUCUAGCUUGCUAGAKAUGAUUAGUGGCGGACGGGUGAGUAACAUUUAGGAAUCUGCCUAGUAGUGGGGGAUAGCUCGGGGAAACUCGAAUUAAUACCGCAUACGACCUACGGGUGAAAGGGGGCGCAAGCUCUUGCUAUUAGAUGAGCCUAAAUCAGAUUAGCUAGUUGGUGGGGUAAAGGCCCACCAAGGCGACGAUCUGUAACUGGUCUGAGAGGAUGAUCAGUCACACCGGAACUGAGACACGGUCCGGACUCCUACGGGAGGCAGCAGUGGGGAAUAUUGGACAAUGGGGGCAACCCUGAUCCAGCCAUGCCGCGUGUGUGAAGAAGGCCUUUUGGUUGUAAAGCACUUUAAGCAGGGAGGAGAGGCUAAUGGUUAAUACCCAUUAGAUUAGACGUUACCUGCAGAAUAAGCACCGGCUAACUCUGUGCCAGCAGCCGCGGUAAUACAGAGGGUGCGAGCGUUAAUCGGAAUUACUGGGCGUAAAGCGAGUGUAGGUGGCUCAUUAAGUCACAUGUGAAAUCCCCGGGCUUAACCUGGGAACUGCAUGUGAUACUGGUGGUGCUAGAAUAUGUGAGAGGGAAGUAGAAUUCCAGGUGUAGCGGUGAAAUGCGUAGAGAUCUGGAGGAAUACCGAUGGCGAAGGCAGCUUCCUGGCAUAAUAUUGACACUGAGAUUCGAAAGCGUGGGUAGCAAACAGGAUUAGAUACCCUGGUAGUCCACGCCGUAAACGAUGUCUACUAGCCGUUGGGGUCCUUGAGACUUUAGUGGCGCAGUUAACGCGAUAAGUAGACCGCCUGGGGAGUACGGCCGCAAGGUUAAAACUCAAAUGAAUUGACGGGGGCCCGCACAAGCGGUGGAGCAUGUGGUUUAAUUCGAUGCAACGCGAAGAACCUUACCUGGUCUUGACAUAGUGAGAAUCCUGCAGAGAUGCGGGAGUGCCUUCGGGAAUUCACAUACAGGUGCUGCA
rnacentral:rRNA from 1 species